rnacentral:rRNA from 1 species
UACGAAGGGGGCGAGCGUUGUUCGGAAUCACUGGGCGUAAAGCGUAUGUAGGCGGACUGUCAAGUCAGGGGUGAAAUCCCGAGGCUCAACCUCGGAACUGCCUUUGAUACGGGCUGUCUUGAGUCCGGGAGAGGUGAGUGGAACUCCUAGUGUAGAGGUGAAAUUCGUAGAUAUUAGGAAGAACACCAGUGGCGAAGGCGGCUCACUGGCCCGGAACUGACGCUGAUGUACGAAAGCGUGGGGAGCAAACAGG